AACGAACGCUGGCGGCAUGCCUAACACAUGCAAGUCGAACGAGACCUUCGGGUCUAUUGGCGCACGGGUUCGUAACGCGUGGGAACCUGCCCUUAUGUUCGGAAUAACUCCCCGAAAGGGGUACUAAUACCGGAUAAUGUCUUCUGACCAAAGAUUUAUUGCCCUUGGUUGGGCCCGCGUUGGAUUAGCUAGUUGUUAGGGUAAAAGCCUACCAAGGCGACGAUCCAUAGCUGGGUUGAGAGGAUGAUCAGCCACACUGGGACUGAGAAACGGCCCAGACUCCUACGGGAGGCAGCAGUGGGGAAUAUUGGAAAAUGGGCGAAAGCCUGAUCCAGCAAUGCCGCGUGAGUGAUGAAGGCCUUAGGGUUGUAAAGCGCUUUUAACCGGGAUGAUAAUGACAGUACCGGGAGAAUAAGCCCCGGCUAACUCCGUG
rnacentral:rRNA from 1 species